rnacentral:rRNA from 1 species
UACAGAGGUCCCAAGCGUUGUUCGGAUUCACUGGGCGUAAAGGGUGCGUAGGUGGUGAGGUAAGUCGGAUGUGAAAUCUCCGAGCUCAACUCGGAAAUGGCAUUGGAAACUACCUUGCUAGAGGGUUGGAGGGGGGACUGGAAUACUUGGUGUAGCAGUGAAAUGCGUAGAUAUCAAGUGGAACACCAGUGGCGAAGGCGAGUCCCUGGACAACUCCUGACAUUGAGGCACGAAAGCUAGGGGAGCAAACAGG